AGCUGCAAUUUGGUUGGGGUGACUUCGAGCAGCGCGCGGUUGGAGGGACGUCGCCUUGGGCCACUGGCGGCUCGAGGCGACAACCCGCCCCCCCCGCCCCCCGCGAAGCCUUGACACUAGGCCCAAUGGAGGGGCGCGCGGGAGGUGGGUGGGGUCGGGAGACCGGGUAAGCCGCCGGCGGGUCGAGGAGGGGUGCGUGUCCCUUGUGGCAACUAGGAAACCGAGAACGAAGGCCAACGCUUCCUGGGCACGGGAGCUCGAAAGGGCAUCUGGUUUCACUGCUGUUCUUUGGAAAACUCACAGUGCAAUGUGCUUCGUGACUGAACAGGCAUCUUGUGAUCCUGGGAAUGUCGAUUCAUUCAUUUGGCGAGUGUUUCUAUGGUCUUGGAGGGCCUUCUGUAUGCCAGACACCGUGCUAGGCGUUGGCGCUGCAGUCCUGACACACAUACACCUGAUUUCUGCCUUCACAGAACUUACAGUCUGAAGAGGGAAAGCGAGAAAACAAACAGUUUAAUUUUCAGGUUCCCAGCCAGAGAAUCUAGGAGAGAAGAAGGAAAACAUUUUUUCUUCUACUUUAGAAUCAGCAAUUUUCCAGGGAGACAUCAAGUUGAGAGACAUCAUUUUUGGAGUCACCAUCGUGUGCAUGGGACUUAAAGCCGUGAGGAUGAGAUCACCUAAGAAUGGUUGCUAUAGGAGGCUUUAGCUCCAUACCACAUACACCUGUGUGAGUAUCCUCAUGACCUGACAGCUAGUAUCCUCCAGAACAAGUGAUCCACGGCAGAAGUCAGAAGUCUCAAUGUGAUUCAGCCUUAGAAGCUCCAUCACCCUCCAUCACUCCUGCCACAUGAACAUCAAGAGGCCUUUCCCACACUCUUCCCUCUGCCAUCUGACUCAGGAGACUGACCUGAGUGGACCAGACAGUGCUGAGCUGAUGGGCCCCAACAAAGAGGAAGGACAAGGAAACAAGAGAAUGAACUCCCCACCGGCUCCCUUAAAGCUGGCUGCACCUGACCUCCGGAGAUCACAGCCCCUCUCAAAGUGACCCUCUCCACAAAACAUUUUUGAAUCACCUUCUCUGGGUUUUGUUAACAAUAAUGCUUCCCUGUGUCCCUUCAGCCUACAGAGAGCAGCCCCAGGAUACUGCCCUGUCCUGUUUGCUUUUCUCCUCUUCUCCCCUUCCCACAUUUCUGAAAAUGGCCCAUUUAAUCAACCUAUUGGGACUAUUUUCAUUUGAGUGUGCCAUCUGUUUCCUGCUGGAUGUCUGACUCAUUCUGUAUACCCUCAACAAACACAACCCACACCAUCACAAAAUGGGAGUUGUAAGUAUUUGUUUUGUUGAUUCUGAUGGUUAAAUGGUCCAGAAAAUAUUGGCAUGGCUCACCUCUGGUACUUAACACUGCAUUGCUCAGAUACUUCACAAUCCCUGUCAGAAGGAGAAAGAAACUUCACUAGUGAACUUUGGUAGUAAUGUUCAUCUUCAAUGGCUUAUGAACUAAAAGAGUUAUAGUACUCUUUCCUUUAAAGUUCAGAUUUUUAUCCAUGACAGCUCUCAUGUUAGGUAAAUCUGUGCCAGAGCUACUUUAUUUUAAUUUGGGAGAGAGAGAAUCUCAAGCAGACUCCUGAUGAUGAGCACAGAGCCCGACUCAGGUCCCUGUUUCAUGACCCUGAGAUCAUGACCUGCGCCAAAACCAAGGGUCUGACACUUAACUGACUGAGCCACCCAGUUGCCCCACAGAGCUAUUUUAAUAAUAGCAUGAAUCAGAGCACAUGUCUUGCUCGAUCAGUAAAGCAAGCAACUUUUUUUUUUUAAGAGUUUAUUUAUUUAUUUAUAAAAGACACAGACAGAGAGGCAGAGAUACAGGCAGAGGGAGAAGCAGGCUCCAUGCAGGGAGCCCGAUGUGGGACUCAAUCCUGGGACUCCAGGAUCACACUCUGGGCCAAAGGCAGGUGCUAAACCGCUGAGCCACCCAGGUGUCCCAAGCAGGCAACUUUUGAUCUUGGACUUAUAAGUUCAAGCAGUGGAUGUAGAGACUACUUAAAAAUUAAAUCUUUAAAAAAUUUUUCUAUUAAGAAAAUAAUAAUAGCAUGAACAGAUGAUAUAAGAGCUAGUUGUAUAUUUUCCCUUGGUGGGUGUUAUUAACUCACAGGCUAUGGAUGAAAUAAGAACUCUGGUAAUUAAAACAUGUUUAAAAUAGCCAACAUUUGGGGAUGCCUCGGUAGCUCAGUGGUUGAGUGUCUGCCCUCAGCUCAGGGCAUGAUCCCAGGGUUCAGGAUCAGGUCCCACAUUGGCUCCUUGUCGGGAGCCUGCUUCUUUCUCCCUCUUUCUGUGUCUCUGCCUCUCUCUGUCUCUCAUGAAUAAUACUAAUAAUAAAAAUAGCCAACUUUUCUGAGCACUCAAGUUACUCCCUACCUAUAACACAAGCACAUGUAAAAACUGAAAUAAUUCCUCCAAGCCUUUGGGCACAUCAUUUGGCAAGUAACUUUCAGGCUGUGCUUAGUCUAAGUUUUCAUUUCCUACAGAAUAAGUGUUUUGAGCAUUAAGGAGAUAAAUGGAGGAGGUAAAUGGGUUGAGGCAGAAUUAUUAGGUUAAUUAUUUCCUUGUAGAAGGAAUGCUUCAAACUUGAUAAAAGGAAAUAGGUGAAGAUGACCAAGGGUUGACUCAAACCACUAUAUCAUUUUCUUGAUAGGCUUCUCCUUCUGACUUUCAGUUGGACAUGUUUUGCUCUUACAGAGGCGAGGGUGUGGAUCAGGAAGUAAAAAAAAAAAAAAAAAAGACAUGUAGGGCUGACUCAAGGCCAAGAAAAACUUGGGCUUUCUCACUGCAAAUUGAGCAAUCCUCUCCGUGCUCCUCACUCUCCUGACUGGCCUCAUCCAUUCCCUGUCCACAGUUUUUGAAUGCUGGUGAAGUCCAGAGCCAGCAGCCAAGAAGAAUUCUUGAGCCAUCUUUGGUGCAAAAUGUUGGUUUUAUUAAAGCUGGGAUAGGACCCGAGGUAGGGGGGGCAGGAAGAGCUGCUGCCCCAGGGUUGUGAUGGGUGGCUGACUGUAUACUUGGGAGUUGGAAAAGGGGGGUUUUCAAAAGAACUUUCAUAUGCUAAAGAAGGCGUACAGCCAUUGUCAAGUUAAGGCUGUUUUUGCUUCUAGCAAGGCAUUAACAUUAAGACAGUUGGGAGUUUCCUACUGGAAGUUAGGUUAUUGACAAGAAUGCUUUUUUUCUCUUAAAUCAAUAAAACAUUUGUCAAGUGAGCAGGUUAACCAUUUCUUUUUCCUCCCCUCCCGUUUUUCCUCCCCCUCCUCCCUCCAGGGAGCUUUUAGGAUCUCAUUAACUAGAUAAGUCCUUCUAUUAUAUGAUCUCAUAGCAACAUAUACCUUUCCUUAUAAGCACUUACUAUAUUUUUGCAUUUAUUUUGACGAUCAUAUUAUUAAUGUCUCUCUCUGUCUCUCAAGUCUAUGAGGGCAGGAUGGGACUGAUGGGAUCUUUUCCCCCUCUUAACGUUAGAUCCUCUGGCCUCUAGCAUCUGAUACUGAGUAAGUACUCAAUAAACAUAAGCUGAAUGAAUGGAAAUGAAUUUCAUCAUAGUCUUCCAGGAGCUCCAAGGUAAAUGGGGCUUUACCAUGGUCUACACUUUCUUUCCCCUUGACAGAGAGCAGCAUUUGCGGAAGCAAGUUAGAAUGGGUGUUUCCCAAAGAAGCUCUACUUACCAUAGACACCCUAUUAAGUUUCUCCAGGAUGUUGAUGGUUAUAGCCUUCUUUACGUGUAGGUCAUCCCUAAGAGGACUAUUUCUACUUGACCUAUGGUUCCAAAACCAUGUCCCUUGAUAAAGCCAAACUUAAACAUAUGAAUAACACUCCCUUAAAAAACCUUUGCAGAAGAAUUUCGCUAUUAAGGUUCUCUCUUGACUAGGAGAUGUCAGAGAAGUCGGUUCCUGGCACCUUUGAUUUUCUUCUCAAACCUGGUCCUGCUUUGUAGCAUUUUAACUUGCUCCUUCUUUAGAGUGCUACACAAGGGUAAAAUAAUAAUAAUAAUAAUAAUAAUAAUAAUAAUAAUAAUAAUUCACAUCUAUUGAAUGUUGUUGUUUGCUAUCACCAGGCAUCAUCCUAGUCAUUCCCUAUACCACUGACCUUUGGACAACACAGGUUUAAACUGUGCAGGUCCACUUAUAUGUGGAUUUUUUUUUUAAACAAAUGCAGUACAGUACCGUAAAUGUGUUUUCCUUAUGAUUUUUCUUAUAUAUCAUUUUCUUCUCUCUAGCUUAUCCUAUUUUAAGACUACAGUAUAUAAAACAUAUAGCAUAUAAAUAAGUGUUAUUCAACUAUGUCUUCAGUAAGGCUUCCAGUCAACAGUAGGCUAUUAGUAGGGAGUCAAAAGUUUUACAUGGAUUUCAACUAUGCUGGAAGUCAGUGUGUGGUUUGUAUGCAGGGGUGCAAGAGCACCUGGUUCUGGGGGUCCCAAACAGACCAGGUUUGGCUUCUCACCACUGACAAAACCAAAGGUGGAGGGACAGGAGUGGUGCAACAAGAAAUGAAUUUAGUUCAGCAAGACCAAUAGUGGAAGAGAGGGGUCUAGUAUCUCAAAGACUGUCUUCAAAGUGCCACAGAUACUUCCAGGUUUAUAAAAGGAAAAUGUGGGGCAAAGGUGAGUAGGUAUGUACAGGUAGGCAGCAAAGAUUCAAACUGAUCAUUGUCUUGGAGUCGAUCAUGUGUGGCGUCUUGCAGGCUCUAGGCUGUCCCUACUGCUUGAGGGGAUAGAUUCAGUUCCCAUCAGGGGAUGCUUCGCUCUCAGGGUCUUCUGACCCAAGAGACUAGCUGGAAAGAACUCAGCUAGAAAGUUUGAGGUCAAAUGGAGCAGCUGGAGCCCUCUUUCAAGUGCCCCUAAUUCCUGCAUAUUCUGGGUUCAACUACAUAUUAUUUCAUUGACUCUUAAUGAGAGAAAAGAAGUCCUCUCAGGUAAAUGCUAUUAUUGAUGUAGUUUUCAUAAUAGUUUGGUGAGGUUGGUGGGGUAUAGGGCCAAUGGCCAAGAAUUCUUGAGACAUCUUUGGAGCAAAAUGGUGGUUUUAUUAAAGCACAGGACAGGACCUGGGAGGCAGGAAGAGCUACUGCCCCAGGAUUAUGAGGGGCAACUGAUUAUAUACUUUGGGGUUUAGGGAAGCAGAGAUAAGAUAAGUUCCAAAAGGAUUUUCACAUGCUAAAGAAGACUCACAGGAUACUGGAGGCCUUGCUAUUGUCAAACCAAGGUUGUUUUUCUCUCUAGCAAGGCAUUAAUAUUAAGAUAGUUGGGAGCUUCCUAGAGAAACAUUAUACUCUGCCUGUCUCAAGUAUUUGUCAAUGGCCUGCCGGUUAUAAAAACAUUUAACUUUAUCUACAUUUCCUUCUGCCUUUUUUUCCCAUACCAUUAUUAUCCUCAUUUUAUAGCUGACAAUAUAGCAGGUGAGAGACAAUAAAUUUACUUAAUAUUAAAGGGGCAGUGGAGCCACAUUUGGAACCCGGGUAGUCUGAUGCCCCAGCCCACACCUUCAUGUGCUGAACCACAGUGCCUCAGCACAGCUAGUGACCCUAACCUGUUAGCUUCUCAUCCAAUUGGGUAAGCCACAAAGACUACUCAAAUUGUCCUCAGAGGGAUGCCUGGGUGGCUCAGUGGUUGAAUGUCUGCUUUUGGCUCUCAGGGUAAGAUCCCGGGAUCCUGGGAUCGAGUCCUGUAUCGGGCUCCCUGAGAGGAGCCUGCUUCUCCCUCUGCCUGUGUCUGCCUCUCUCUCUCUCUGUCUCUCAUGAAUAAAUAAAUAGAAUCUUUAAAAAAAUAAAAUUAAAAAAAAAGUAAUCAAAAGUAUUUUAUCUUUAUGAAAAAUAUAUUCAUUGCAUACAAUUUCUCAGAUUCCAUAUAAACCCCCAAAUAACUAUUAUAUAGAUGAUAUCUAAAGAGCCUGUACUAAAAAUAAAAAUGAAUAAAGAGCCAGUACUAUAUGUUAAUUGCUGAGUUAACAAAAUUACAUUACUAUUCCAAUUUUACAGAUGGGGAAAUUUCACCAGGUUGUGAAAAGACUUUCUUAAGCUCCUUAGCUGUUAUGUGAGAGCCUAGAUUACAUUCAGGCCUAUUCACUUAUAAAGACAGCAAUCUCUACAACUGACAGCAUUGUUUUAUUUUUUUAAAGAUUUGUUUAUUUAUUUUUAGCAAGAGAGAGUGCAGUGGGGAGGAGCCGAGGGAGAGGGAAAGAGAGUCUUAAGCAGACUCCCUGCUGCAUGUGGAGCCCUACUCCACUGGAUCCCCUGGACAGGGAGCAAGACCUAAGUGGAAAUCAAGAGUCCAUCCCUUAGGCAAGUGCACCACCUAGGUGCCCCGACUAUAAUCUGGUAUAGCUGUACCAAAAGACAGCAGUGUCUGCCCUACCAUUAGAUUUUUAGGUGAUUUCCAACCUUUUAAUAUUAGAAAUGGCAGUUUGGAUAUGCCUGGCUGACUCAGUCAAUAGAGCGUGAGACUUGAUGUCGGGGUUGUAAGUGCUUGUCCUACAUUGGGUGUAGAGAUUACUUAAAAAUAUAUAAUCUUAAAAAAAAAAGAAAUGGCAAUUUAAUGAACAUUACAGUUAAUUCUUUUCUUUGAAGUAAAAAUAGCAUUAUCCUUCCUCUAGAGUACAUAAGUAAUAUACGUUUACUAUAAAAAAUCAAGGAACACAUGAAAUUUUAAGGGAAGUAUCAUCUGAAAUUCUAUCAUCUUGUAAUAGCCAUUGUUAACAUUUUGCUGAUUACAAUUUUGUGUCUUUUUUAUGUAUACCAUGUACAAUUUUACAUAAGUAGAAUCUUAUGUCUCUCCAUGUUUUUUUCAUUCCCUAACUCUCAACAAAUGUAAUACAUAGAAGUAGAUAGGGGGUUCAUUAUUUAUUUUACAAAAAUGGGAUUGUUUAUUUUGUAAAAACAGAAAAAAGAAAUCACUUCUCUCCAAUGUGCUCUUUUAGCUUGAAAAUAAAUCAUGAAAAUUC